GACGAACGCUGGCGGCGUGCUUAACACAUGCAAGUCGAACGGAAAGGCCCUGCUUUUGUGGGGUGCUCGAGUGGCGAACGGGUGAGUAACACGUGAGUAACCUGCCCUUGACUUUGGGAUAACUUCAGGAAACUGGGGCUAAUACCGGAUAGGAGCUCCUGCUGCAUGGUGGGGGUUGGAAAGUUUCGGCGGUUGGGGAUGGACUCGCGGCUUAUCAGCUUGUUGGUGGGGUAGUGGCUUACCAAGGCUUUGACGGGUAGCCGGCCUGAGAGGGUGACCGGCCACAUUGGGACUGGGAUACGGCCCGGACUCCUACGGGAGGCAGCAGUGGGGGAUAGUGCACAAUGGGCGGAAGCCUGAUGCAGCAACGCCGCGUGCGGGAUGACGGCCUUCGGGUUGUAAACCGCUUUCGCCUGUGACGAAGCGUGAGUGACGGUAAUGGGUAAAGAAGCACCGGCUAACUACGUG
rnacentral:rRNA from 1 species